rnacentral:rRNA from 1 species
UACGUAGGGUGCGAGCGUUGUCCGGAUUUAUUGGGCGUAAAGGGCUCGUAGGCGGCGUGUCGCGUCGGGAGUGAAAGCCCGUUGCUUAACGGCGGGUUGGUUUUCGGUACGGGCAUGCUGGAGUGCGGCAGGGGAGACUGGAAUUCCUGGUGUAGCGGUGGAAUGCGCAGAUAUCAGGAGGAACACCGGUGGCGAAGGCGGGUCUCUGGGCCGUUACUGACGCUGAGGAGCGAAAGCGUGGGGAGCGAACAGG